rnacentral:rRNA from 1 species
UACAGAGGUCUCAAGCGUUGUUCGGAUUCAUUGGGCGUAAAGGGCGCGUAGGCGGCGGGGCAAGUCGGGUGUGAAAUCUCAGGGCUCAACCCUGAAACUGCACUCGAUACUGCUCUGCUUGAGGACUGGAGAGGAGACUGGAAUUCACGGUGUAGCAGUGAAAUGCGUAGAUAUCGUGAGGAAGACCAGUGGCGAAGGCGGGUCUCUGGACAGUUCCUGACGCUGAGGCGCGAAGGCCAGGGGAGCAAAGCGGG